rnacentral:rRNA from 1 species
AGUGAACGCUGGCGGUAGGCCUAACACAUGCAAGUCGAACGGCAGCACAGUAAGAGCUUGCUCUUACGGGUGGCGAGUGGCGGACGGGUGAGGAAUACAUCGGCAUCUACUUUUUCGUGGGGGAUAACGUAGGGACACUUACGCUAAUACCGCAUACGACCUACGGGUGAAAGCAGGGGAUCUUCGCACCUUGCGCGAUUGAUUGAGCCGAUGUCGGAUUAGCUAGUUGGCGGGGUAAAGGCCCACCAAGGCGACGAUCCGUAGCUGGUCUGAGAGGAUGAUCAGCCACACUGGAACUGAGACACGGUCCAGACUCCUACGGGAGGCAGCAGUGGGGAAUAUUGGACAAUGGGCGCAAGCCUGAUCCAGCCAUACCGCGUGGGUGAAGAAGGCCUUCGGGUUGUAAAGCCCUUUUGUUGGGAAAGAAAAGCAGCAGGUUAAUACCCCGCUGUUCUGACGGUACCCAAAGAAUAAGCACCGGCUAACUUCGUG